GAGGAGAAGUCUCAAUGAUGGCUGUACUGCAUAUCCAGUAUUUACCCCCGGUGAGGUAUUUGCCAGUUUACAUCUACAAAUCAACUAGUGCUUCUGUUGACACCUUUUCCGAGUUGUUACUUUUAGCAUCCCUUCUGUGUUAUAUACUGAACACAGCAUGUUUUCAGUAACUAAUUUAGUACUAUGUAUUUAGCAGCACUGAAAGAUGACUUGUCUCUUGAAAUAAUGCAUUCUAGCAAGACUCGAGACUUGAGCUAAAAAUGGGAUUUUUGACCCAGGGUGUUAAAGGAUUCAACACUUGGGAGUCAUCUCUUUUCACUAACAAAUACAAAGACUAUGUGAUGAAAAGGAAUCCUUCCACAGGAAGAAAACUAUCAUUUAUAUUUUUUCCUGAUUCUCUGGGGACUUCAGACAUGGAGUGAAAUAAAAGCUUGGAGUGAGAGAGAAUGAAGCCUUGACAGAAAGUGAAAUCCCUGUCCUGUCUGUUUACAGCAACCCAAACCAAAAUCAAGCAAACGGCAGUGCUUUGUAUGUGUUCUUAAAUAAAAUAGACAUUUGUUGAUUAAUUUACUGUCUAG
rnacentral:lncRNA from 10 species